rfam:Danio rerio unplaced genomic contig CTG2934, GRCz11 reference primary assembly.
GGCUCGUUGGUCUAGGGGUAUGAUUCUCGCUUUGGGUGUGAGAGGUCCCGAGUUCAAAUCCCGGACGAGCCC